CUCCUGGUCUCCCCGGGCCCGGGCCCCGGCACCGCCCAGCGCUUCUCGCUCCGCUCCCCCGCCACCCUCCCCGGCCUCCUCACCAGCGUCCGCCUCCUCAAGCAGCGGGUGUCGGCGGCGCUCAGUGACCUGGUGACCCGGGAGCGGGAGGAGCAGCGGCAGCGACAGCGACCCCCAGGCCCCGGGGAGGCGCUCAGCCUCAGCCCCGACCCCAGUCACAGCCACAGCCACAGUGAAGAUGAAGACAGUGAAGAAAAUGAAUCAGAUACCAAGGCGGAUGGGGAUGCACCUCCUGUAAAACGCACCAAGAAACCUUCCUGACUCACCCCAGUGGGACAAUCUGUUUGUCAGUCUGCUUACAAUGACGGGAUCUGGAACGUUUUAUAGGGAGAACUACUCCAUCAGUUGGUGAUCGGGAUGGACAACAUUUGUUAAAUGUCAAUCUGGUGUUACCCUCACUUAUUUUUUUAUACAGACCUGUUAUAUACAAAAAAAAUAUUUCUGUUUGUGUUGGCCUUUGAACCCCUUUCAGUUCAUUGUUUGUUAACUUGGGAAUUUUGGUUCACACAAGAAAUCUAUCUAUGCGAUA